GAUUUCAGUCAAGUAGCUGAUAAACCUCAUGCUGUUUGCAUACCAUUCCCAGCUCAGGGUCACAUAACCCCAAUGCUUAAGCUAGCAAAACUCUACAUUUUAAUGGCUUCCACAUAACCUUUAUUAAUUUUGGAUGCUCUUACAACAAUGUUCCUUCCUACUUAUGCAAUCGAUCCUCUCCACUUGAUAGCUAAUAAUCAGAUAGCAGAUGAUAGACUGAACAAUAUUGGUUCAAAUCUAUGGAAAGAACAAUCAGACUUCACUGAAUGGCUUGAUUCAAAAGAAUCUGGUUUUGUGGUGUAUAUAAAUUUUGGAAGCAUCGCUGUACUAACACCACAGAAAAUGCUAGAAUUUGCUUGGGUUCAGGCUAACAGCGAAAAAGCUCUCUUAUGUAUAAUAAGGUCUGACACUGAUGGUGGUGUGUCGAGCAUUUUUCCACCUGAAUUCCUUGCAGAAACAAAGGAUAGAGGCAAGCUAGCAAGUUGGUGUCCACAGGAUCAGAUUUUAAAGCACCCAGCAAUAGGAGUAUUUGACAAUUUGACACUUGAAAGAGUUUGUUGUAGAGUUUCAUUUAUUUGUUUGCCAUUUUUCUCGUAGCAGCAAACCAACUGUUGGUUUGCUUGCAACAAAUGGGGUAUCGGAAUGGUGAUGUAAAGAGAGAUCAAGUUGGGAAGCUUGUUAGAGAGUUAAUGGAGGGAGAAAGGGGCAACGAAAUGAAAAAGAAGGCGAUGGACUGGAAGACGAAGGCAUAUGAAGCUGCCAGCCCCAGAACUUCGAAAAUUUGCUAGCAGACAUUCUCUUGGUGCAAAAAACAGAAAUACAUUUGAGAAAGAUUAAAACCUCAGCCCAGUUAGAAGCUGCAUUUUCAAUUUUAUCCGGUGCUGCUUCAAAGAGUUUUGAGUUGUUGGGAUCUGAAGGAGUGUUCUAUGCACAUUAAAACCCUAGAGGCUUCGACAGGUGGUCUAGAUUCAGGAGAGGAAAAGAUGUGUGUUCUUUCUAGCUUCUCCUGUUUGGUCCACUCUUCAUUUCUGAUUUCAUAGGUGCGGCUUCUUGGAUUUUAUCUAGUCGUCCUUCAUUUUUUUCUCUUUUUUAAGGGUGUUGCUUCUUGGAUUUUAUCCUCUACUUUUCUCGAAUAGUGUGAGUGGCUUCUGCUUUUAUUUGGGAAAAAAAUUGUUCAAGUGAUAUUAUACUGUUCCUAAAUCUUGGUUGCCUUCAAUGUAUUUGUUGUAUUGCCUAAGUAAAGUCUUAUUUUACUUAUUACUUCAUGGGAACAACAUAUUCAUGGAACAAAAAAACAACAACUAAUCUUCAAUCCAACAAUACCGAAUAAAAAGAUAUGUGUCCGAAACAUGCUGUCAAAAAUCCAACUUGAUUCAACGGUGAAUCGGCUGCCGACCAAAGCUUGAACCGACACUGCUCAAGCUGCCUCUUCUUUCUUUUUGUCACGGGUUCUGUGUCUUUUCUUUGUAUCUGUCCUUCUAUUUGUUUAUUUAUUCAGCGGGUCCUAAUCCCAGCUAACCUUUUCAUUUGUUUCCUUCUAUGGUGGUCCCUUUUUCACAUGGGGCGGGACAUCCCAGCAACAAGUAUCUUUGCAAGUGCGAAAGUAAGUGUAACCAAUAACCCUCAGCAUAUUUUAGCACUCUCACUCGAGGUGACUGAUGCUCAUCAGAAUUAUUUGGUUAUUGGUUACAGAUGAAGAUACAAAAAUUAAGGGAAUAUUAUGGAAAGAAUUAUUUUUUAAGAUUUUUGAACAUCAUUCAUAAUAUGUUUUCUGAUAUUCACUUGCAGACUGGAAUGACUUUUUCUUUAAUGAAUUUCAUCGGAGAAUAUAAAUCUUCUCUGUAGUUAA